GAGUUUGAUCCUGGCUCAGGAUGAACGCUGGCGGCGUGCCUGAGAUAUGCAAGUCGAGCGCAUACUCAUUCUGCUUGCAGAGUGAGUUCAGCGGCGGACGGCUGAGUAACACGUAGGAACUUACCCCUCAGUGGGGGAUAGCUCCGAGAAAUCGGGGGUAAUCCCGCAUGGUUCCCGAUUUUAUCGGGAUAAAGGGCGUAACUGCUCGCUGAGGGAGAGGCCUGCGGCUUAUCAGGUUGUUGGUAGGGUAACGGCCUACCAAGCCGAUGACGAGUAGCCGGUCUGAGAGGAUGGUCGGCCAGAGGGGCACUGAGACACGGGCCCCACUCCUACGGGAGGCAGCAAUCAGGAAUAGUCGGCAAUGGGCGAAAGCCUGACCGCGCGACGCCGCGUGCGGGAUGAAGCUCUAACGAGUGUAAACCGCUGUGGUAGGGGAAGAAAUUCCGAUUCAGUCGGAACUGACGGUACCCUACUAGAAAGAGGUCGCUAACUGCGUGCCAGAAGCGUCGGUAAUACGUGGACCUCAAGCGUUAUCCGGUUUUACUGGGCGUAAAGGGUCGUGUAGGCGGUUUCCUAAGUUAUCUUUGAAAUCUCUCUGCUUAACGGAGAGGCUGGAGGUAAUACUAGGAAACUAGAGUUUCCUUUAGGGAGAACGGAACUGGGGGAGGAGCGGUGAAAUGCGAUGAUACCCCCGGGAACACCAGGGGCGAAGGCGGUUCUCUGGAAGGAAACUGACGCUGAGACACGAAAGCUAGGGGAGCGAACCGGAUUAGAGACCCGGGUAGUCCUAGCCGUAAACGCAUGCCUGCUAGUUGCAUUUUCCCCGAUUCGUCAGGGAGGGUGUGACGAAGCUAACGCGUUAAGCAGGCCGCCUGGGAACUACGGCCGCAAGGCUAAAACUCAAAGGAAUUGGCGGGGAGGCACACAACCAGUGGAACAUGUGGUUUAAUUCGAGACAAACCGAAGAACCUCACCAAGGCUUGACAUGCCGACGAAGUUCCGACGAAAGUCGGGACGUCCGCAAGGACGUCGGCACAGGUGUUGCAUGGCUGUCGUCAGCUCGUUCCGUGAGGAGUACCCUUAAGUGGGACAACGAGCGCAACCCCCAUCCCGAGUUACAAGUGUCUCGGGAAACGGUCCCGACUUCGUCGGGAAGGAAGGUGGGGCAGACGUCAAGUCAGCAUGACCCUUACGCCUUGGGCUACACACAUGUUACAAUGGGCAGCACAAUGGGUAGCAAACUGGCAACGGCGAGCUAAUCCUACAAAACUGCUCUCAGUGGGGAUUGAGAUCUGCAACUCGACCUCAUGAACGCGGAAUUGGUAGUAAUCGGAGAUCAGUCAUGCUCCGGUGAAUACGUUCUUGCCUCUUGCACACACCGCCCGUCAAGCCACCAAAGUCGGGAAGAUCUGAACCCUGAUUGCGUCGGGGGAAGAUUUUCUUGGCGAUGGGGGUUAAGUCGUAACAAGGUAACC
rnacentral:rRNA from 2 species